AAAGCAUUUUGAGCGGGGAAACGAAUAAAUGUUAUUAUAUUGUAUGUAUUUAGAAAGAAGUCACCUUUUAUUUAUUUUAUUUUUUUUAACUUAUUUUUGCCAUGUUUCCCGGUGCUGUGUGCUAUAGUUUCUAAGUUUUAAAAACGGACCAUUUAUUGGGAAAUAUUCCAGGAAGUGACAUCAUUUUGGUGGGAAAGCAACAAUCAACAAUUUAUCAUCUAACAGAUUUGGAGAGAUUUAGCAUUACAGCACUUUCUCAUCAAUGGAUCCUCUGCAGUGAAUGGGUGCCGUCAGUAUGAGAGUCCAAACAUCUGUUCUGAUGAAGAAACAAACUCAUCUUGGAUGGCUUGAGGGCCUGCGUUUGUUGGUUAUCGCGUCGUUCAAUUGCACUGAACUGGAUAAUCACAUCGAUCGCAUUCAGAAAGCAACAGCCGGUGUGUUUUCAGGUCCAUGGAUGUGUUGCAAAGCUGUAGGCCGAGUGCAUUUAGCAGUGGAUGUUUUAAUGAAAGAUGAGUAUCUGUUUCUCCCCAGGCAGUCUCUGUGGUAAUAAG